GAUGAAGAACGUAGCAAAAUGCGAUAAGUAAUGUGAAUUGCAGAAUUCAGUGAAUCAUCGAAUCUUUGAACGCACAUUGCGCCCGCUGGUAUUCCGGCGGGCAUGCCUGUUCGAGCGUCAUUUCAACCCUCAAGCCCCCCGGGUUUGGUGUUGUGGAUCGGCUCUGCCUCACGGCGGUGCCGCCCCCGAAAUACAUUGGCGGUCUCGCUGCAGCCUCCAUUGCGUAGUAGCUAACACCUCGCAACUGGAACGCGGCGCGGCCAUGCCGUAAAACCCCAACUUCUGAAUGUUGACCUCGGAUCAGGUAGGAAUACCCGCUGAACUUAAGCAUAUCAAUAAGCGGAGGA
rnacentral:misc_RNA from 1 species